AACAAAACCCUUAUUUGAAAAGGAAGGUAAGUGAGCAACUUCACUGCCUACAUUUCCAAACUCAAUAAGAGUUAACUUCCAAUUUUACAUUUUCCAGGCUCUGGAAAGGCUCACUUUGAUUCUAAUUCAAGGAGUAAUAUCAUGUCAAUCCCAAUGUUAUCCCAGGGUUUAUCAAUAGGCCACAGCUUUCUCAAGUAUGGCUUUAGCACAUGGAACAGAAGAGAUGUUGUCCCCAGGGAAGAUGUCCUAACUUUAGCUUUUUAAUGUUCCAGUCUUUGAAAUAAGGAGUUUAUUUUUGGUCCUCGCUGCCUAAGGAGAUAAAGCCACAUUAGCCUUUAAAGCAAGGAUGGGACACAUUCAGGCAGAACUAAGGCUUCGGUUCACCCUUGGGCCCCCCUAAGUGACCACAUAUGUGAUUACUUCCACCCAGAAUGACUCUCACAAGUCUUCAAGGACUAAUACAGAGAGAGCCUUGCUCUAUAAAUGGAAUCUCUGUGUCCCAACCAGCCUUUCCCACCCAGUGAAGGAGAAGAAUCAUGCAGAGAGCUCUGCUCCACAUCCUUCCCCGUGGUCAGUGUGGACUAGAGGAGGCUGUGAUUAGCUUCUCUGUCUGGGAAAUUCUAAAAUCCAAGAGACCUAUGAGGAAAGAAGAUCAAGAAGGAGAACAAGCUCAAGAAGGUGAGGGGAAGAAGCUCAGUUCUGCAGAAAGUCUUAGGAUCCAGAGAAUCUAGCCCACCUUAAGGGCUCGCUCUCCUAAUGAACACCUGGACUGGAUAAGCUACAGAAGGUGCUAGUGGAGAGGAGGAAAGUUUUGGUGCACACAGGCGAGCUUGGCUUCUUCAGGUUGGGUGUGUGCUGAGCUCAGCAGGACACCAAAAUGCCUUUGACCCAGUUGAAGGAGCAAAACCUUGAAGAAGAAAGGCCUGAGUAGAAGGCCCUGCAUUGCCUGCCAGCGCCAAGCCUAGGACUCUGCACAGAACAUCUGUGACUCUGGGGGCUGUGCAAGAUGCAGGAACAGAGGGAUGCCUGGCUGCCUUUCCCAGCUCCACGGUGCUCUCGCUCCGCUCACUGCUGAGCUGAAAAAUCUGACAGGGGCAUUUCCUUUUGCUUUCUGCACAUUUUGAUAAAACUAAGAGGAACUGUGGGUCCUGACUCAGGGCCUGUUGGAACCAGGACACACUGAGGUGCCCAGGUAUAGGAAAACAUCUGUGUUAUUUGCUAUUGUCUUGUAUUGAUCAAAUGUUUUGGAAUUUGGUUGAAUCCAGCCUCUACUCGGCCUGUGAAGAAAGCUGACAGAGAAAGAGCAGAAUGAGAGAGUCUGGGGUGCCUUCCUAGGGGAAAGUGGAGGAUUCAGGCACAGUAUCUCCAGGAAAAAAGUCUGGGGCUCAUGAUGCAGCUUCAGGAAGAAGCAUUGUGCCUUUGGGCUCAGGCUUGGUACCCCUGGCUGAGAGCUGAAGUGUCUCCCACCCCUGUCUCACUGCUCCUUGUUGGAGAGCUGCUUCCUGCAGUCCUGGAACCCAUGGUAUCCAUCUCUCUCUCCCUCCUCCUCCCCUACUGCUUGCAGGGUCCUUGCUGGGCACCUGCCCAGGAACCGAGGACUGGGAGCCUAUGAUUAAACUCUCCUGUUCUAGCUCUGCCUGGGCUCCUCACAUUGUCUCUAUGAUGCAGGAUUCAAACCAAGGUUUCUCUCUAAACUUUCCUUUCCCAGACUGUAUUCCCAGCUCCUCUCCUGAUUUUCCAGUGACGCAGAGUUGCAAAAAUUUAUUACAUCUGAUCCAGAGGGAGCCUGAGUUUUCUAAAUUAUUAGUAGUAAGGGUUCCCCUAAAACAAUUUUGCAACUUGAACAGCUACAAUAUAGAACCAGGUAGUUUGGAAUUUACCGCCCUAAAGAUCAUCCUAUGCAUUGCAUAGUACAGAGUUUAUGUUUUUCCUUCCAUAUCCAUCCUGUGUUCAAAGGCUGACCCUGAUGGACUAUAGUAACUAAGUCCCCUUUCUUCUCCUUCCUAAGUGAAUUUGGCUUAGGGAAGACAAUGUCAAGAGUGUGGAGAGAGGGAGGGCAACCAACCUUCCUGGUUUGCAAGAUCUGGCACCUCUCUUGCUAGAAUGCAUUCCCCAGUACCUGCUUUUCUCUUCUAAAUGGCACAGUGCCUUGUAGAAAGCUUUCUAUUGAAGCCACAUCAUACGAACUACCCAGGGCUUCAAAGCUUCUGAUCUUUAUUUGAGGCCAACAUGAAUAAAAGUCACCCACUAAUCCUAGGCCCAGGUGCUGCUUCUUUACUUGCCAGUUUCCCUUAGCCUUCGGAGCUUUGCAAAUAAUCCAUUCAUUCUCCCUCCUCAGUCUUCCCAAUACCCUAACUAAAAGAUAAACAAGGGGAAAUGAACCUUGAGAAUAUGCGUUGCCUUAAACAGUGCACAAAUUUCUAACAUGCUGCAAUUAUCCUUGCUAAAAGAGCCAGGAGAAACUGAGAAAGAGGCAAUGUGAAAAUAAACAGUGUGGCUUAGGGACAUAGCAAUCAAAGGAGAUCCAGAUCACCUGCUUUGCCUGAGGGGCGGCUGCAGCAGCGCAUAUUCACAUUCUGUACAGGUGGACACCAUGUUGCUCCAUCUGGAUGCCCGCUGCAGCAACACCCUCCCACCCCCAGGAGCUGUGCCCCUCCCUGGGCCCCAAGGAAGAGAAGGAACAGUGACCAAUGGAAAGAAGAUGCUAAUAAUGUCAAUAGCAGGAUAACAAACUGAGGGAAGACAGAGGGACGCUCACCUUGUGAUUCUGGAGGUGGAACCUUUU